GGGUUGUGAGGUUAAGCGACUAAGCGUACACGGUGGAUGCCCUGGCAGUCAGAGGCGAUGAAGGACGUGCUAAUCUGCGAUAAGCGUCGGUAAGGUGAUAUGAACCGUUAUAACCGGCGAUUUCCGAAUGGGGAAACCCAGUGUGUUUCGACACACUAUCAUUAACUGAAUCCAUAGGUUAAUGAGGCGAACCGGGGGAACUGAAACAUCUAAGUACCCCGAGGAAAAGAAAUCAACCGAGAUUCCCCCAGUAGCGGCGAGCGAACGGGGAGCAGCCCAGAGCCUGAAUCAGUGUGUGUGUUAGUGGAAGCGUCUGGAAAGGCGCGCGAUACAGGGUGACAGCCCCGUACACAAAAAUGCACAUGCUGUGAGCUCGAUGAGUAGGGCGGGACACGUGGUAUCCUGUCUGAAUAUGGGGGGACCAUCCUCCAAGGCUAAAUACUCCUGACUGACCGAUAGUGAACCAGUACCGUGAGGGAAAGGCGAAAAGAACCCCGGCGAGGGGAGUGAAAAAGAACCUGAAACCGUGUACGUACAAGCAGUGGGAGCACGCUUAGGCGUGUGACUGCGUACCUUUUGUAUAAUGGGUCAGCGACUUAUAUUCUGUAGCAAGGUUAACCGAAUAGGGGAGCCGAAGGGAAACCGAGUCUUAACUGGGCGUUAAGUUGCAGGGUAUAGACCCGAAACCCGGUGAUCUAGCCAUGGGCAGGUUGAAGGUUGGGUAACACUAACUGGAGGACCGAACCGACUAAUGUUGAAAAAUUAGCGGAUGACUUGUGGCUGGGGGUGAAAGGCCAAUCAAACCGGGAGAUAGCUGGUUCUCCCCGAAAGCUAUUUAGGUAGCGCCUCGUGAAUUCAUCUCCGGGGGUAGAGCACUGUUUCGGCAAGGGGGUCAUCCCGACUUACCAACCCGAUGCAAACUGCGAAUACCGGAGAAUGUUAUCACGGGAGACACACGGCGGGUGCUAACGUCCGUCGUGAAGAGGGAAACAACCCAGACCGCCAGCUAAGGUCCCAAAGUCAUGGUUAAGUGGGAAACGAUGUGGGAAGGCCCAGACAGCCAGGAUGUUGGCUUAGAAGCAGCCAUCAUUUAAAGAAAGCGUAAUAGCUCACUGGUCGAGUCGGCCUGCGCGGAAGAUGUAACGGGGCUAAACCAUGCACCGAAGCUGCGGCAGCGACGCUUAUGCGUUGUUGGGUAGGGGAGCGUUCUGUAAGCCUGUGAAGGUGUACUGUGAGGUAUGCUGGAGGUAUCAGAAGUGCGAAUGCUGACAUAAGUAACGAUAAAGCGGGUGAAAAGCCCGCUCGCCGGAAGACCAAGGGUUCCUGUCCAACGUUAAUCGGGGCAGGGUGAGUCGACCCCUAAGGCGAGGCCGAAAGGCGUAGUCGAUGGGAAACAGGUUAAUAUUCCUGUACUUGGUGUUACUGCGAAGGGGGGACGGAGAAGGCUAUGUUGGCCGGGCGACGGUUGUCCCGGUUUAAGCGUGUAGGCUGGUUUUCCAGGCAAAUCCGGAAAAUCAAGGCUGAGGCGUGAUGACGAGGCACUACGGUGCUGAAGCAACAAAUGCCCUGCUUCCAGGAAAAGCCUCUAAGCAUCAGGUAACAUCAAAUCGUACCCCAAACCGACACAGGUGGUCAGGUAGAGAAUACCAAGGCGCUUGAGAGAACUCGGGUGAAGGAACUAGGCAAAAUGGUGCCGUAACUUCGGGAGAAGGCACGCUGAUAUGUAGGUGAAGUCCCUCGCGGAUGGAGCUGAAAUCAGUCGAAGAUACCAGCUGGCUGCAACUGUUUAUUAAAAACACAGCACUGUGCAAACACGAAAGUGGACGUAUACGGUGUGACGCCUGCCCGGUGCCGGAAGGUUAAUUGAUGGGGUUAGCGCAAGCGAAGCUCUUGAUCGAAGCCCCGGUAAACGGCGGCCGUAACUAUAACGGUCCUAAGGUAGCGAAAUUCCUUGUCGGGUAAGUUCCGACCUGCACGAAUGGCGUAAUGAUGGCCAGGCUGUCUCCACCCGAGACUCAGUGAAAUUGAACUCGCUGUGAAGAUGCAGUGUACCCGCGGCAAGACGGAAAGACCCCGUGAACCUUUACUAUAGCUUGACACUGAACAUUGAGCCUUGAUGUGUAGGAUAGGUGGGAGGCUUUGAAGUGUGGACGCCAGUCUGCAUGGAGCCGACCUUGAAAUACCACCCUUUAAUGUUUGAUGUUCUAACGUUGACCCGUAAUCCGGGUUGCGGACAGUGUCUGGUGGGUAGUUUGACUGGGGCGGUCUCCUCCUAAAGAGUAACGGAGGAGCACGAAGGUUGGCUAAUCCUGGUCGGACAUCAGGAGGUUAGUGCAAUGGCAUAAGCCAGCUUGACUGCGAGCGUGACGGCGCGAGCAGGUGCGAAAGCAGGUCAUAGUGAUCCGGUGGUUCUGAAUGGAAGGGCCAUCGCUCAACGGAUAAAAGGUACUCCGGGGAUAACAGGCUGAUACCGCCCAAGAGUUCAUAUCGACGGCGGUGUUUGGCACCUCGAUGUCGGCUCAUCACAUCCUGGGGCUGAAGUAGGUCCCAAGGGUAUGGCUGUUCGCCAUUUAAAGUGGUACGCGAGCUGGGUUUAGAACGUCGUGAGACAGUUCGGUCCCUAUCUGCCGUGGGCGCUGGAGAACUGAGGGGGGCUGCUCCUAGUACGAGAGGACCGGAGUGGACGCAUCACUGGUGUUCGGGUUGUCAUGCCAAUGGCACUGCCCGGUAGCUAAAUGCGGAAGAGAUAAGUGCUGAAAGCAUCUAAGCACGAAACUUGCCCCGAGAUGAGUUCUCCCUGACUCCUUGAGAGUCCUGAAGGAACGUUGAAGACGACGACGUUGAUAGGCCGGGUGUGUAAGCGCAGCGAUGCGUUGAGCUAACCGGUACUAAUGAACCGUGAGGCUUAACCUUACAACGCCGAAGGUGUUU
rnacentral:rRNA from 1 species